ensembl:miRNA
AACCCUCCCUUGGGAAGUGAAGCUCAGGCUGUGAUUUCAAGCCAGGGGGCGUUUUUCUAUAACUGGAUGAAAAGCACCUCCAGGGCUUGAAGCUCACAGUUUGAGAGCAAUCGUCUAAGGAAGUU